UUUAAUUGAUGUGUGUGAAAAGUGAGAUAUUGGUGAUUGACGAUGAAACAAGACGACUAUCGAGUACAUUGUGAAUUCCGAGCUGCAUCAUUACGAUAAGACGAUACUCCGAACGGUACAAGUGCAAGGAAGUAUUUCACUUUUAUGCAUGCUGUGAGUAAAUGGAGUUGGUCUAAUAAGUGAUCCAAGCGAAAGGAAUCAGUGUAACGAUAUACCAAUAAAGUGUACAGACACAGUCGUAGAAUGGAACGUAGCAUCGAUGUGUGCGUGCGUCUGUGUAACAUCCGUAUGACGCAAUACUCCCCGUCACACGAUAUAGGUCCUACUUCCAUCGUAUCAUCGUGGCACAAGCACGGCCAAGCCUUUUCCAUAUCCGUGCAUACGUUUUAAGAAAAAGGGAAGAAAAUUCGUUAUCGUGCUGCCGUAGAUGACUGCCGUCAGAGGAGAAUGAAUUGGCCCCGUAGCACGUCGUAACCGGCGUUUAUAGUCCACAGUGCUCCAAUAAUAUAAAUCCUGGCCGUUAUCGGGCCAAAUUUAUUGGAGGAUAUUAUCGAACGUCGAUUAUCACGAUACCAUCGUAGCCGUACGUACACGGCCGGUGAUCUGGUUGCGUGGAGUGUGUCCGCCGCCCCCACGUGGCUACGUAAUACGAUUAUUUAUUACAAAAGCAUUAUUUAUUGGUCGGCGAUCCUUCGAGCCGGCGAUUCGUUAUUGUUUCGCCGAUCGAAAUUUCAUGGUUUCGCCAUGAAAUUUCUCUCCCGCCGGAUUUGAUAUCGAGAAACGAAUCGAUGAUCCUCUUCGACCUAUCCCCAUUGGCUGUUUCGAUUUUUCAACUUGUAUUCGUGCUUGAAAUCGAGCUUUACGAUCACCCCUUCUUCUCGUCGUCGUUGAUUGUUCAUGUGACAAACAAAGGAAGCUGUAUAAGUACGGAAAUGAUUAAAUUGUAAUGUACUUGUGACAAAAACGGAGGUGUAACGUACUUGCUUGCGUGUAUUUGUUCUUGUCGAAAGUGA